rnacentral:rRNA from 1 species
UACGGAGGGUGCGAGCGUUAUCCGGAUUCACUGGGUUUAAAGGGCGCGUAGGCGGCUUUGCAAGUGACGGGUGAAAUCCCACGGCUUAACCGUGGAACUGCCUGUCAGACUGCAUGGCUUGAGACCAGGAGAGGUGAGUGGAAUUCCCAGUGUAGCGGUGAAAUGCGUAGAUAUUGGGAGGAACACCAGUGGCGAAGGCGGCUCACUGGACUGGUACUGACGCUGAGGCGCGAAAGCGUGGGGAGCAAACAGG